rnacentral:rRNA from 1 species
GUGCCAGCAGCCGCGGUAAGACGAAGGUGGCGAGCGUUGUUCGGAAUCACUGGGCAUAAAGCGCACGUAGGCGGCGGCGUAAGUUGGAUGUGAAAUCCCCCGGCCCAACCGGGGAACUGCGUCCAGUACUGCGUUGCUUGAGGAUCCAAGGGGUGCAUGGAAUUCCCGGUGGAGCGGUGAAAUGCGUUGAUAUCGGGAGGAACUCCGGCGGCGAAAGCGGUGCACUGGUGGAUUACUGACGCUGAGGUGCGAAAGCCAGGGGAGCAAACGGGAUUAGAAACCCCCGUAGUCC